GACGAACGCUGGCGGCGUGCUUAACACAUGCAAGUCGAACGCGCCUGUCCUCUGGGUUUCUGGGGGGUGGGUGAGUGGCGGACGGGUGAGUCACACGUGAGUAACCUGCCCCCUUCUUCGGGAUAACGGUCUGAAAGGGCUGCUAAUACCGGGUAUUCACUGGUCUCCGCAUGGGGUCUGGUGUAAAGGUUUUUUUCUGGUGGGGGAUGGGCUCGCGGCCUAUCAGCUUGUUGGUGGGGUGAUGGCCCACCAAGGCUUUGACGGGUAGCCGGCCUGAGAGGGUGACCGGUCACAUUGGGACUGAGAUACGGCCCAGACUCCUACGGGAGGCAGCAGUGGGGAAUAAUGCACAAUGGGCGCAAGCCUGAUGCAGCGACGCCGCGUGAGGGAUGGAGGCCUUCGGGUUGUGAACCUCUUUCGCCCGUGGUCAAGCCGCGACGUGGGUCGUGGUGAGGGUAGUGGGUAAAGAAGCGCCGGCUAACUACGUG
rnacentral:rRNA from 1 species